UACGUAGGGGGCUAGCGUUGUCCGGAUUUAUUGGGCGUAAAGAGCGUGUAGGCGGCCAGGUAGGUCUGCUGUGAAAACUCGAGGCUCAACCUCGAGAUGUCGGCGGAAACCAUCUGGCUAGAGUCCGGAAGAGGAGAGUGGAAUUCCUGGUGUAGCGGUGAAAUGCGCAGAUAUCAGGAGGAACACCGAUGGCGAAGGCAGGUCUUUGGGCCACUACUGACGCUGAGAAGCGAAAGCAUGGGGAGCGAACAGG
rnacentral:rRNA from 1 species